UACGUAGGGGCCUAGCGUUGUCCGGAUUUAUUGGGCGUAAAGAGCUCGUAGGCGGUUCGGCAAGUCGGAUGUGAAAUCUCCACGCUUAACGUGGAGGGGCCAUUCGAAACUGCCGUGACUCGAGUCCGGUAGGGGAGUGUGGAAUUCCCGGUGUAGCGGUGAAAUGCGCAGAUAUCAGGAGGAACACCAAUGGCGAAGGCAGCUCGCUGGGACGUGACUGACGCUGAGACGCGAAAGCGUGGGGAGCAAACAGG
rnacentral:rRNA from 1 species